rnacentral:rRNA from 1 species
UACGGGGGGGCGAGCGUUGUUCGGAAUCACUGGGCGUAAAGGGCGCGUAGGCGGCCCGCACAAGUCUGCGGUGAAAACCCCCGGCUUAACCGGGGGCCGGCCGUGGAAACUGUCGGGCUGGAGGCUGGGAGAGGGCAGGCGGAAUUCCCGGUGUAGCGGUGAAAUGCGUAGAGAUCGGGAGGAACACCGGCGGCGAAGGCGGCUGCCUGGACCAGUCCUGACGCUGAGGCGCGAAGCUAGGGGAGGCAAA